rnacentral:rRNA from 1 species
UUUUAUGAGAGUUUGAUCCUGGCUCAGGACGAACGCUGGCGGCGUGCCUAAUACAUGCAAGUCGAACGCUUCUUUUUCCACCGGAGCUUGCUCCACCGGAAAAAGAGGAGUGGCGAACGGGUGAGUAACACGUGGGUACCCUGCCCAUCAGAAGGGGAUAACACUUGGAAACAGGUGCUAAUACCGUAUAACAAUCAAAACCGCAUGGUUUUGAUU